rnacentral:rRNA from 1 species
GAUGAACGCUAGCGGCAGGCUUAAUACAUGCAAGUCGUGGGGCAGCAGGUUUGUAGCAAUACAGAUGCUGGCGACCGGCAAACGGGUGCGGAACACGUACAGAACCUUCCUUUGAGCGGGGAAUAGCCCAGAGAAAUUUGGAUUAAUACCCCAUAGUAUAAUAAAGUGGCAUCACUUUAUUAUUAAAGAUUUAUCACUCGAAGAUGGCUGUGCGGCUGAUUAGGUAGUUGGCGGGUAAAGGCCCACCAAGCCUGCGAUCAGUAACUGGUGUGAGAGCACGACCAGUCACACGGGCACUGAGACACGGGCCCGACUCCUACGGGAGGCAGCAGUAAGGAAUAUUGAUCAAUGGAGGCAACUCUGAACCAGCCAUGCCGCGUGGAGGA